ensembl:lncRNA
UGAGUUGACAGCUCGUACUUCUUUAAAUGGGGUGACUGUCUGAGAAGACAGUACCAUAGUGAGUUUAUAUUGCUUUCCUACCUAUUAAUUUGAAAAGCAUAAAAACUUCUAAAAUCUACUUCAUGGACUGAGGUAGUGAGUUUCUCACAGUGUGCAAAGGAACUUAGGAACUCACUUAGAUGGUCAGAAAGCUGCUAAUGUCAUGAGCUAUGUUCAGAAAGCAUGUUUAUAAAUGUCAUUUCUAACUGUUGUAUUUAGAAUCAAUUGACUCAAGUUCUGCACUAAAGAUUCUGCGAAAGGUCCUACACUUCCUGAAUAAUCACAGUAUGGCAGAGUAGUGAAAAUUGUCCAAAACAGCACUAAGUGUGUUAAGGAUUUUCUGGAAGGGGCUUGGAAACAGAUUCUAUUGGAUAGACUGCAGGAAUACUUCAGCAUGGUGGGAGUUCCAGAACCCUGUGGGGGGAAAAAAGCUUGAAAUAGGAUUUUGUCCUGAGCAAAAAGGAGCACUGAAGAGUUGCUAAAGUAAUAGGGCCUUUGUAAAACUAAAGGGACUUUGCAACUAUUCAGUUGUUUAGUUUUAGGAUUAGAAAUCAGUAUUACUAUAUAGCAGCAAAGCUUUCUUUAGGUGUAGCCUCUUUUGUCACCACCAAAGGUGCUAACAAAAGCAGUAGUGCUUGACUGGAAUGAACGCUGCAGGCAGAGAGGACCAGGAUGGCAGCUUAUGCUGUCUGCCUGCUUCAGAACUGCCUUCUUGAAGGCUCCCAGGAAACUAAUAACUCUUGCAGAGGUCUGGCUUGCUACAUCUUUGACUCUCGUGCAUUGUACAGGGGUUUACUUUAACUCACAAUAGCUCAUGUUGUUUGGAAAGCAACACUCAGAGUGCAGAAGCUAGGCACUACGUACAGUGUGAAAUAGCUAAACAUGAGGGAAAAAAACUUUGAAGUAUGGAACAUCACAGCACCAUCUGCUGGAUGCACAGCUGCUGCUUUCCAUGCAGAGCUUUGUAUUGCUUUUUUUUUUUUCACCUGUUUACUGAAAGGUUGAUCGACUCCAGUUAAUAUAUUACAUGAAUGCAGGUAUAAAUAUAUGCUCAUUAAAAGGCUCCUGAGUGAGCUGGCUUGGCUGUCAGACCAGUUUUUCUUUAGUGAAGGUACCACAGAAGAAGAACAGGACUGCAGAUUUUGGAUAGCCUUGUAGCUGCUGGGUAUUUUACUGUGCUGAAUAAUUCCACAGUGAUGUUAACUAUUGGAAAAAUAUUCUUGCUGUCUGUGCAGUUUCUUACUCAUCUCUUUGCCUACAGUCACCAUCAUUUCUGUGGGGCAGAGUUACACAGGAACAACUUCACAAAGGUGCAGGGCUGCAGUCUCCAAUUUACCUGAGCAGAGAAGAUUAAUGCCAGCUCUCUAUUUACAAGAAAACAAAAGUAAGGCUGUAAAAAAGGAACGGGGUUAUGCUCUUCUCUAAUCUGUCUGAAUCUUGGCUGGGCCUAUAAGGGCUACCAAUACAUGCCUGCUUGGCUUAUUUACUGCUUGCUCUUGUUUGGCACCCAUGUUUUGUUCAUCUGAUACUUAGCUGUUAUGGCUGAGCAAGGCAGGAGCUCAGCUCAUUGCCUGCUGACCCAAAUGGUACAUGGCCUUAAAUAGAGGAGAGGUUCUAUCAACUUCUGCUUAGCCAAACUAUGUCAAAGUGUGCUGAAUGCCCUCAUACUAAGGCAGAAGGAGUUAGAUCACCUUUGUACUUCCUGUUGUCCCACCCCCUCCCCCAAGGCAAGUUUGCCUUCGUUGUUCAGAUUCCCAUCCAGAUGACCUUAACAAAAAGGUAAUAAUGGCCCAAUUGGAAAACAGGGCAUGUCAUACUCUUGCUGCUGUUCUCAAGUGAGAUUCUCUUACACCAGGAAUGGAGAUCCACAGUAUGCAUUUUUACGGUCACUUGUCCACUUGGUGAAGCUAAAAAAUGGAGUGUGGACUUCUGGUUUGCAAUAUCUCAUUUCCAUUAUGAUGUGUCUUGUUACAGAAUAAGCCCUAACUGGCUUUUAAGAAGUCACUUUAAUUUUGCUGUUCUGGAAAAUGACAGUGUGCAUAUUAAAAACACAAUCCUAUUUUCAACUAUGUGACUAUCCACUUCUGGCUUAUCAAGAGCAAAGUUUUCUAAUUUGAAACUGUUUUGAACUUGGCACAGCAACGGGACAGAUCAAUACAAUGGGAAAGGUGCUACAACAAAGGUGAUAAUGAAAGGACUGGCACUGGAGAGAAGUGCUAUAAAGGAAGGGAAGAAGAUUGCUCACCUGUAUCAGAAGAGUCUAGGUUUGCAGGGGAAAGCUCCACCAAGGAGGGAUCUCUGGAAAGAGAUCCUUCCCCAGUAGCAAUCAGCCCUUAAAUGGGGUCUAAGAGAGGUGCAGCCUGGCUCCACCCCUUCUGGUCACACAGCUGAAUUGCCUUCACCUGUGCUCCCAGGGCUGACCAGGUCCUUUCCCCAGGUGCUCAGUCAGUGGUUCAGGCUGUGACUCAACAGCUCCCAUACACUUACAAAGCACAGGCCUUGGUUUAACAAUGAGUUGACAUGGAGCAACUAAAUUAAAACAUAUUUCCAUAAGUUUAUGCUAUAAACCAUUUUCAGAAUGUUGUGAUCUUGACCUGGAAACAAUAUGAAGUAGAGAUAACACAGCUGAUGUAGAUAAAGAAUGUGUUUGUUCACUCUGUUAAUGUAUUAGCUUAAAAAAUUACUUUGUUUUUAUCUGAACUCAUUUCAUUAAAAUAGAGUUGAUCCAGGUGUUAAAGAUGUUUUUAUGCUAUGAGGAGUCGGUCUGAUUUAACCAUAAUUAACAAGUUAUGCAGAGGAUUUAGAUCACUCUGGAGGAUCUGCUUAGGCUGCUCCGAAAAGCUUAGCGGUGAGUGAUUCUGAUUGCAGUCCCUUGCUAGCUUGCUCAUACCAUUCCAUUUUGCGAUGCUAGGUUCUGACAAACCCUGUAUGCUAAGGCAUAUAUAUUUUUUAAUAUUUUAAAUAUUCAUUAUUCUAUUAAUUUUGCAUAUCCUUAGAGAUUCUGAGAUUUCUUGAGAACUGCUUAAAAUGCGUGCCAGUGGAAUGUGCCAGCUGAUGCUGACAUGUUGGUACAUGGUGUCCUCAUUCUGUCUGGGCAGGCUCCUGUUCUUCUCAGUCGUGGGGGCAACCCACAGACCUCUUAUGUUUCAUCCCUUCAGACUGAACAAUGAAGCAACAAAUACAACCAAACAGCUUCUUUUGUCAUUGUUACUGUGCAGUGCAUUUGAAUCAUGAGACCUGUUGGUCCCCUGAGGUAUCAUCACAGGAAGAGGAAACAUUCCACCAUGAUAACUCUCGUUAGGGGGACUGGAGAGAGCUUCAGCAAUACGUACUCCUCCAGCUCCUUCCUGUAAUUUGAUUUAUGUAGAAGAGUUUUAAUGAAAUGAACAUGUUUUAGUGGGGAAAUAUUGGUGGUAGGUGGGUGGUUGGAUUGGAUGAUCUUGGUGGUCUUUUCCAACCUUGGCGAGCCUAUGAUUCUAUGAUCUCUGCCACUGAGACCACAAGCCUUAAAGGGUGUAGAAGAAUCUGAAAAGAAUUACACUUAAUGCUAAUAUUAAAACAGAAUGAAUCCAACAUAAGGAAUUGGUACUUGUUCAGUACCAAGGGGUCUGCAAUGGGGCAGUCUUUUCUUCCAUAUAAAUUCAUAGACACCAAUGCAGUAGUGAGGCUAAUGUAUCCAGGAGUAUGCAGCAAUCAGAGAGAAUUGGGUACUUCAGAUAAGACAGCUAUUCUGGCAAACGAUGCGUCAGUUCACAAGCUUGGUCUGUCAGUCAUUUUCUCAGAUUCACCGAUCUUCUGAGAGUUGUCAGAAUUGGCAGGGGAAAAAGUGACUUGUAUCUUAGUAUUAACAGGCGAUGCACCAAAUGCAAAACAACACACCCUGUAAACCCCCUUACUUCAGGUCUUAAAGUGGCACGUAUCACCUGGAAAACAUCCAUUUAUCUUUCAGUUUAAAGAUGAAAAACUCUCUGUUUUCACGGUACUCUGAAUUUGAGAGCUUGAUCCCACUAAAUCUGUUAUCCGGUUUAGGGCCCAAUUACCAGUCACAGGGAUGAAUGAAGUCUCCAGAUAAAAUGACACCGUGCUGAGAUAAUUCAAAAGGAAUCAGCCACACUACUUCAAGCUGACAUUUUUUUUUAUGCUAUAAAUGUGACUCUUUGAAAAUUAGCUGUUUAUGGGAAAACGUGCUCUUUCUUCUCUCUCACAGACUUCAUAUAAAGCCUCAGCGAAGUGCCAUUUCUAAUAUCUCCACAGAGUAUAUCCUUUCUUCCCAGCUAAGAAGGAGCAAGUCUAGGUAGAUAACAGGCGUGUUAACCCAUGGCUGGAGAUGCUGCAUGCUUCUGAAGAAUCUGAGACAUCCAUGGUGCCAUUGCAAUCAGCGGAAAUCAUUCAUGUUCGCUCCAGUGACAGAAUGGCUGCAAUGGAAAUACACAGGCUUUAUUCAAAGGCUGCUGCUUGUGGCACAGCCAGCCGGGUUGCAGAGGUCAGUGAACUGUUCCACAGCAUCAACUCCUUGGUACUCCCAGGCAAGUAGGGGCAGGUUGCACACUACCCCCUCAGGCCCUCACCUCCUGCCUCUGCUGACUCCCGGGCACCACAGAAUGUUUUCUCCUGGGAGAAGGAAGUGUGAAGACUGUGUAAAAGAUGCGCUGCAUGGUUAGCAUCAACUUAACGCUGCAAACUCAUAAGCCAGUGUCUGACUGUAGAUGCUGCAUAACUGCUGUCUGAGUUAUCUAUGGGUAAGAUCCUCACCUGCAUGGAGAGCAUUAAUCACCCCUGGGAGAAUGCUGUUGCGGUUUGGCUGAGCAAAGCUGCCUGAAAGAUAUUAAGACUGGUAGAACCUCUUGCUGUCACUUUAGCAUGAUUAACAUCUGAAAAUACUUCUGCUUAACUGUUAAAUAUAUUUACAAUCUUGCCUUGGAAAAACAGAAGGUCUUCUGUCCCACCAUUCAAUACACUGCAAUGGAGAAGACGCUUGAGGAAUUUUUUUUGGUCUUCCCCAGGCUGUCAUUUAAACUCUGCACGCACAUUUUACAGUGUUGUAAGCCUUGGUGGCCCUGCUCCUGGGAGGUGCUGAGCAUCACUGCUUCACGUGUAGCACAGCCUACAGCCACCAGCCUUUGUGAAGCACUGUGUGACCUGUUGCCUGGGAACUGAGGCCUUCCGUGAAUUGACCUCUUUCCUUAGCCAUACCCAAAUGGGAUUAUCGAUGUUUAGGUAGCAGUUGUUAAUUUUGGAUCUCAGUGGUCUUUGCCUCUCUACUAGUGCAAUUUCACAGCUCUGCCUGACAAGUUCUGCAGCAGAGAGUGCUGCCUAACUUGUAGUCCCAGAUUUUGGCAUCAGUUACGAGUAUCUCAAGAGACAAUGUCUGGGAAAUUCUACUCAAACUGCAAUGUGAUCUGGGCAGAAGAGAGGAGGUGGAAGGGCUUGCUGCUCCUGCACUGGAAGCAGAAGCAGAAAUGCUUGAAGGUGAGUGAUAUUUGGGGAACUGUGUGAAGGAGCUUCUCCAUUCCGGCUUUACUCUACUAGGAGGAGAGGAUAAUUUAAAUGUCAUGAAGGUGGUAUACUGAGAAAUGACAGUAGGCUGCAAUAAUAACCAGGUACCACUGAUUGUGAUAUUACGAUAUCAUCCUCCUUCUCCUGAAAUAUACCUUCAAGAAAUAAAAAAUAGUCAGCUGGAGCUAGAGGUAAUUGCCUAUAGAGUGACAGGUAGUGGUGAAACCCAUUAUAUCAUUUCUCUGCCAAUGAAGUAUUUCUCCCAGCAGUACAUUUCUUACGUAUUUGCUCUCAAACUUAGUAUUGUAAUUACUUAUGAUACUUUUAAAUUAAGAUGACAAUUAAGGCAUGCUACUUCUGCUGAAUUGCUUCUGAAAUUAAGUUACUCAUAUUUGCAUCAACACUUUGUAACCAAGUGAGGCUGCUUCCCUGAGGUAAAAACUCAAAGUAGGAGACCAUCUCUGACCUGCAUAGCUUACCUUUUCAAAGAACAAGAUAAAUAAAGACAUCAGUUCUCCUCCACUUUAACCUGCUGUUUUAAUUCUCCUAAUUUUCUGUAAGCCAUAUCCUCUUGCUUGAAGACUUACCAAGGAGAAGGUGUCCAUGUCAGCACUUAGCUGAACUAUUCAAAUUGAGUGAUCUUUCCUUGAAGGUUAGCCUUUCUUGCAGUUAAUAAGCUGCCAUCACAGUGUUUUUAUGAAGGAGAUAAAGCUGCCUGCAUAUAAAAAGCUUCUAAACAAUGUUGUCAAUGUUUAUGAUACUCCAUAAAUGGUAUAAUGACCAUCAAACAGUAAAUCUCUUACCCUGUGGACUCUAAACCAUGUUCCAAGUUAUAAGGUAUAAAAUAAAGUGCAAUUAGCAAUGAAAUAAUAAGUUACAAAGUAAUCAUCACUCCUUUUUGUUCCCACAAUCAUAUUAUUUCCCAGUAGUAUAAAUAGAAAAAGAGUUAAAUGACUACAAAUUUAGUUGACCUAUUUCUAAUCUUACACUUACUAUUGUAAUUCAAGAAAAACUCCAACGAGAAACAGAUAUAAAGUUAGGGUAAAGGAAGGCAAGAUUUAUGCAAAAAUAAAAAUAUUUUAAAUAAACGUGAAUAAACAUUUAAUAUCCC